rnacentral:tRNA from 1 species
CGGGGUGUAGCGCAGUCUGGUAGCGCGCCUGCUUUGGGAGCAGAUGUCGGGGGUUCAAAUCCCUCCUCCCCGACCA